rfam:Homo sapiens chromosome 16, GRCh38 reference primary assembly.
GCCGGGCGUGGUGGUGCAUGCCUGUAGUCCCAGCUACUCAGGAGGCUGAGGCAGGAGAAUUGCUUGAACCUGGGAGGUGGAGGUUGCAGUGAGCUGAGAUUGUGCCACUGCACUCCUGCCUGGGUGACAGAGUGAGACUCUGUCUCAA